rnacentral:rRNA from 1 species
AGCGAACGCUGGCGGCAGGCCUAACACAUGCAAGUCGAACGGCAGCAUGGUCUAGCUUGCUAGACUGAUGGCGAGUGGCGAACGGGUGAGUAACGCGUAGGAAUAUGCCUUAAAGGUGGGGGACAACUUGGGGAAACUCAAGCUAAUACCGCAUUAAUUUCUUACGGAAAAAAGCUAGGGUACCUUUUGGCCUGGCGCUU